rnacentral:rRNA from 1 species
GACGAACGCUGGCGGCGUGCUUAACACAUGCAAGUCGAACGAAGUGGCGAACGGGUGAGUAACGCGUAAUCAACCCGCCCUUUCGAGGGGGACCACAGUUGGAAACGACUGCUACUACCGCAUACUGCAGGUGGGUGUUGCGUUUGAUUAGCAAGGUGGAGGGGUAACGGCCCACGAAGGCGAUGAUCGGUCGCCGGGAUGAGAGGAUGAGCGGCCACACUGGGAGUGAGACACGGCACAGUGGGAUACGGAAGGCAGCAGUAGGGAAGCUGCCGCAAUGGACGAAAGUCUGACGGAGCAACGCGGCAGGAGUGAUGACGGCCUUCGGGUGGUAAAGCUCGGUUAAUCGGGACGCGGUACCGGAAUAGAAAGCCACGGCUAACUACGUGCCAGUAGCCGCGGUAAUAC